UAUCGUCCAAGGAUCGCGAAGACGAUCGGAUGGCUGGCUCCUCCUACUUCCGACGCAAUUCUCCUCGUGCUAUGGACGUCGCAGCCGGUCGGGAACUCCAGYAGUGUCAAAGUUCGGCCAUGAGGACGCCCGUCCCGCGGUUGCUCGGGGAUCCGCCGYGCGCGCGAUUCCCGGUGUCUCGCAUGGGCGUCUGGGCACGACUCCCGACCGAGGUAGAGGGAUGCCGUUCGCGGCAUCCAGCCUUGUCCUCGUCAUCUCGACCGAGCGGUCUCUGGCGCCGGGGG
rnacentral:rRNA from 1 species